GUAUCUUUUUGUACUUUCCAGCAGCCUGCAAUCAUGCCUUUCCUUCCUGUAUUAAUUGUGAGGAUGGAAGAAGUAGCUACAUAUCAUCCUCUGUAUAUACUAUUAGAAGUAGCUACACUAUUAUCCCAUAUUGUAAUCUAUUGCAAUGUAUCUUUUUGUACUUUCCAGCAGCCUGCAAUCAUGCCCUUCCUUCCUGUAUUAAUUGUGAGGAUGGAAGAAGUAGCUACAUAUCAUCCUCAGUAUGUACUAUUAGAGGCAGGUACAUACUUUCCAUACUGUAAUCUAUCGUAAUGUAUUGUAUUGUAUUUUCCAGCAGCCUGCAAUCAUGCCCUUCCUUCCUGUCUUGAUCUUCCAACACUCAGUUCUAAGCACACAAGCACAUGUUAUCUUAUUCCACCCCUUUGUUCUUCCUCCCUUCCUCAGUAUCUAACCUUUCCUUGUUGGUUUCCAUGAAUAAGUUUUUUCCUUUUUGAGUAUGUCUUCCUAAUGUAACUAUUGGUCUAUGUUUUUGUUUGUUUGUUCUAGUACACACACACACACACACACACACAUGCAUACAGACACACACCAGAAUUGGUUUGGGAAUUCUAUUUUCUCAUCAGCUUCCUGUCUAUCCCCUGUCUGCCUGUAGCACCAGUAGGACCUCUUGGACGGCCCCAGCCCAUUAGCGGUCUUAGCCAGGUCUUUCUCUGCCUCUGUGGUGGAUAGUGGAGUGUUUCCCAUGUGGUAUUGGUGUGCUGGAUAUCCCUUCACUGGUAGCCUGGUAACAUACACUCCCAGGUCUUUCUCUGCCUCUCUGGUGGAUAGUGGAGUGUUUCCCAUGUGGUAUUGGUGUGCUGGAUAUCCCUUCACUGGUAGCCUGGUAACAUACACUCCCAGGUCUUUCUCUGUCUCUGUGGUGGAUAGUGGAGUGUUUCCCAUGUGGUAUUGGUAUGCUGGAUAUCCCUUCACUGGUAGCCUGGUCACAUACACUCCCAGGUCUUUCUCUGCCUCUGUGGUGGAUAGUGGAGUGUUUCCCAUGUGGUAUUGGUGUGCUAGAUAUCCCUUCACUGGUAGCCUGGUAACAUACACUCCCAGGUCUUUCUCUGCCUCUGUGGUGGAUAGUGGAGUGUUUCCCAUGUGGUAUUGGUGUGCUGGAUAUCCCUUCACUGGUAGCCUGGUAACACACUCCCAGGUCUUUCUCUGCCUCUGUGGUGGAUAGUGGAGUGUUUCCCAUGUGGUAUUGGUGUGCUGGAUAUCCCUUCACUGGUAGCCUGGUAACAUACACUCCCAGGUCUUUCUCUGCCUCUGUGGUGGAUAGUGGAGUGUUUCCCAUGUGGUAUUGGUGUGCUGGAUAUCCCCUCCCAAGGUGCAGGACUUAACAUUUUUCAUCAUUGCAUUGUAGCAGCCACUUUUUGUUCCACUCCCAUAGCUUUUUGAUGUCUUCUUGUAGGAAAUCCACAGUCAAGGGGUUAAAAAUAGGCCUUUCUGACAAACUAUUGCAAUUUUUAUAACACUCUUACUUCCCUUAUAAGAUUACAUUAUGUUGUUUGUCUGGUGGAGAACAGUUUUGAUUCUUCGCGGAGACAAACAAAGGAAAACAAUUCAAAGUGUUUUUAUUCCUCUUAAUAAUGAACAAAUACUUGACUUCUGGGCUGCCAACAGAGUAAUGGAUUGUUUCAUCUUUAGGGCGAACAAAGAAAUUAGCGCCUGAAUGUUCAAACGCUGUAUUAGCCUUCGUCAAGAACACUGUGGCUGACUUGUCUUUGCUGGUUUGUUAAUGUGUUGACUUCACUCUGAAAAUCCAGGACUUCUAGCUAACAACUCCAUCUCAAAAUUAGAAGCAAAGUCACACCAGCCACAGAGCUUGAUACUACUACCAUGCUUGAAAAACCCGGCGUACAUGACUAAACGAUAUAUGUAUGUACCUCCUUGAGACGACAAGUAAUAUAUGGAGCCGAAAAGAACCUCCUCGUAACCGACUCUACGUAACCGUUUAUCCCGAGCCUGUGUUGUCGUUCCGAGUCGGAAGAACUUAAAAUAUAUUGUCAUUACGAACUCUCUCUUUCAUAACACAAGUCCUACAGCAAUACUUCCUCUCCACAACACAAGUCCUACAGCAAUACUUCCUCUCAGCAACACAAGUCCUACAGCAAUACUUCCUCUCCACAACACAAGUCCUACAGCAAUACUUCCUCUCCACAACACAAGUCCUACAGCAAUACUUCCUCUCCACAACACAAGUCCUACAGCAAUACUUCCUCUCCACAACACAAGUCCUACAGCAAUACUUCCUCUCCACAACACAAGUCCUACAGCAAUACUUCCUCUCCACAACACAAGUCCUACAGCAAUACUUCCUCUCCACAACACAAGUCCUACAGCAAUACUUCCUCUCCACAACACAAGUCCUACAGCAAUACUUCCUCUCCACAACACAAGUCCUACAGCAAUACUUCCUCUCCACAACACAAGUCCUACAGCAAUACUUCCUCUCCACAACACAAGUCCUACAGCAAUACUUCCUCUCCACAACACAAGUCCUAUAGCAAUACUUCCUCUCCACAACACAAGUCCUACAGCAAUACUUCCU